GUCAGGGCGCAUCGAUCUCCAAAAAGUGUCAAUUUGACACUUUAGUCGCACAACGGUAACACUGGUUAUCAUACACUUUUCCAAUAUGUGUUUACGAAAAUU